rnacentral:misc_RNA from 1 species
GUGAGAUUGUAUUUUAAUGAUUCUCUCCAUCUUAAUUCUUUUAUUGUUGAAGCUCUUAUCUAUAUGAAGCUAUUUUGAGGAUAGAUUUAUUGCUACUCUAUUAGUUAGAGGUGGCAAUUUUAGACACUAACAUGACACAAGGGUUUGGAUUGGAUUUAUUCAUGUUUGUGUCAAAAUUAUAUCGAUCUGUUUAUACACAUCAAUAAUCAUGUCAUGUUGCGGAUUGACCUACUAAUCCGAUUUGACUUGCCAACCUGUCAAACACGUUUUGACCCAUUAAUCCACAAAUUAUAUUAUUAGAG